rnacentral:rRNA from 1 species
UCCGUAGGUGAACCUGCGGAGGGAUCAUUACUGAGUUUACGCUCUACAACCCUUUGUGAACAUACCUAUAACUGUUGCUUCGGCGGGUAGGGUCUCCGUGACCCUCCCGGCCUCCCGCCCCCGGGCGGGUCGGCGCCCGCCGGAGGAUAACCAAACUCUGAUUUAACGACGUUUCUUCUGAGUGGUACAAGCAAAUAAUCAAAACUUUUAACAACGGAUCUCUUGGUUCUGGCAUCGAUGAAGAACGCAGCGAAAUGCGAUAAGUAAUGUGAAUUGCAGAAUUCAGUGAAUCAUCGAAUCUUUGAACGCACAUUGCGCCCGCCAGCAUUCUGGCGGGCAUGCCUGUUCGAGCGUCAUUUCAACCCUCAAGCUCUGCUUGGUGUUGGGGCCCUACAGCUGAUGUAGGCCCUCAAAGGUAGUGGCGGACCCUCCCGGAGCCUCCUUUGCGUAGUAACUUUACGUCUCGCACUGGGAUCCGGAGGGACUCUUGCCGUAAAACCCCCAAUUCUCCAAAGGUUGACCUCGGAUCAGGUAGGAAUACCCGCUGAACUUAAGCAUAU